UUCCCUACGGGUGGCUGCAGUAGGGAAUAUUAGUAAUGGGCGAAAGCCUGAACUAGCAACGCCGCGUGUGCGAAGAAGGCCUUCGGGUUGUAAAGCACUUUUUGAGAGGAUGAGGAAGGACGGUACUCUCAGAAUAAGUCUCGGCUAACUACGUGCCAGCAGCCGCGGUAACACGUAGGAGGCAAACGUUAUCCGGAUUUACUGGGCGUAAAGCGCGUGUAGGUGGUUUGGUAAGUAGGGCGUGAAAGCUCCUGGCUCAACUGGGAGAGGACGUUCUAAACUACCAAGCUUGAGGAUGGUAGAGGGAGGUGGAAUUCCGGGUGUAGCGGUGGAAUGCGCAGAUAUCCGGAGGAACACCAGUGGCGAAGGCGGCCUCCUGGACCAUUCCUGACACUCAGACGCGAAAGCUAGGGUAGCAAACGGGAUUAGAUACCCCGGUAGUCG
rnacentral:rRNA from 1 species